AAAAAAAGGUACAUCUAAGUGCGGUGCGAACGCUGUAUUGAACGCACAGAGUUUAUCUAUUGAGUCGUUACUGUCGUAUAACCAAGUUGAAGAAUAAAUAUCUCAUUAUUUUUAUCUAGAUUCUAAUUUAGCAAAGAUGCCUGCCAGGCAAGUAGUAACAAACCCAGUGUUGGUUGCAUUUACUGUCCAAGAUGUUGUAACUUCAGGAGUUGUACUAAGCAUUGUACUUUCAAAGCCUCUUGUGGGCGUCACUGAAACUUUCAUAUAUAGAUCCAUUCUUCGUAGAUACAGAGUCAUAAUAGGAGCUGCUGGAAUAAGGAAUGACGAUUUGUUCCUAGAAGUCCGCAGGAAGAUUACUGAUCUAAUUACCAAUAAUUUUGUUGUCCGACAACGAUCAAGAUUGUUUUUAAAAACCCAAUGAACAAUUGAUUCUUGAGUUUUUUUAAAAUAGAGUUUAAUUAAUAAAUUAAAUUUCUAAAAAAAUU